GACGAACGCUGGCGGCGUGGAUUAGGCAUGCAAGUCGAACGGUAGGAUACCUUCGGGUAUCUGAGAGUGGCGAACGGGUGAGUAACACGUAGGUGAUCUACCCUCAAGAUUGGGACAACCCAGGGAAACUUGGGCUAAUACCGGAUGAAAGCAGCAGUGAUGUUGUUUGAAAGGUGGCGUAAGCUGCCGUUUGGGGAUGAGCCUGCGCUCUAUUAGUUAGUUGGCGGGGUAAAGGCCCACCAAGGCGAUGAUAGAUAGGCGGCCUUAACGGGUGGUCGCCCACACUGGGAUUGAGAUACGGCCCAGACUCCUACGGGAGGCAGCAGUCGAGAAUAGUCUACAAUGGCCGAAAGGCUGAUAGUGCGACGCCGCGUGAACGAGAAGCCCUUCGGGGUGUAAAGUUCUUUUAUAUGUGAGCAGUGCUUUCUAUGUGAACAGCAUGGGGAAGAGAUAUUAGCAUAUGAAUAAGCAACGGCUAACUCCGUGCC
rnacentral:rRNA from 1 species